rnacentral:rRNA from 1 species
UACGUAGGGUGCAAGCGUUGUCCGGAAUUAUUGGGCGUAAAGAGCUUGUAGGCGGUUUGUCGCGUCUGCUGUGAAAUUUCGGGGCUCAACCCCGAACUUGCAGUGGGUACGGGCAGACUAGAGUGUGGUAGGGGAGACUGGAAUUCCUGGUGUAGCGGUGAAAUGCGCAGAUAUCGGGAGGAACACCAAUUGCGAAGGCAGCUCGCUGGGACGUAACUGACGCUGAGACGCGAAAGCGUGGGGAGCAAACAGG